CCUACGGGGGGCUGCAGUGAGGAAUAUUGGUCAAUGGACGAGAGUCUGAACCAGCCAAGUAGCGUGAAGGAUGACUGCCCUAUGGGUUGUAAACUUCUUUUAUAUGGGAAUAAAGUGAGCCACGUGUGGCUUUUUGUAUGUACCAUACGAAUAAGGAUCGGCUAACUCCGUGCCAGCAGCCGCGGUAAUACGGAGGAUCCGAGCGUUAUCCGGAUUUAUUGGGUUUAAAGGGAGCGUAGGCGGAUUAUUAAGUCAGUUGUGAAAGUUUGCGGCUCAACCGUAAAAUUGCAGUUGAUACUGGUAGUCUUGAGUGCAGCAGAGGUAGGCGGAAUUCGUGGUGUAGCGGUGAAAUGCUUAGAUAUCACGAAGAACUCCGAUUGCGAAGGCAGCUUACUGGACUGUAACUGACGCUGAUGCUCGAAAGUGUGGGUAUCAAACAGGAUUAGAUACCCCGGUAGUC
rnacentral:rRNA from 1 species